rnacentral:rRNA from 1 species
AUGGAUACUAGGUGUGGGGGGACUGACCCCCUCCGUGCCGCAGUUAACACAAUAAGUAUCCCACCUGGGGAGUACGAUCGCAAGGUUGAAACUCAAAGGAAUUGACGGGGGCCCGCACAAGCGGUGGAGUAUGUGGUUUAAUUCGAAGCAACGCGAAGAACCUUACCAGGGCUUGACAUCCCGGCGACCGGUGUAGAGAUACACCUUCUUCUUCGGAAGCGCCGGUGACAGGUGGUGCAUGGUUGUCGUCAGCUCGUGUCGUGAGAUGUUGGGUUAAGUCCCGCAACGAGCGCAACCCUUAUUGUUAGUUGCUACGCAAGAGCACUCUAGCGAGACUGCCGUUGACAAAACGGAGGAAGGUGGGGACGACGUCAAAUCAUCAUGCCCCUUAUGUCCUGGGCCACACACGUACUACAAUGGUGGUUAACAGAGGGAGGCAAUACCGCGAGGUGGAGCAAAUCCCUAAAAGCCAUCCCAGUUCGGAUCGCAGGCUGCAACCCGCCUGCGUGAAGUUGGAAUCGCUAGUAAUCGCGGAUCAGCAUGCCGCGGUGAAUACGUUCCCGGGCCUUGUACACACCGCCCGUC